rnacentral:rRNA from 1 species
CGGUGUUUAACUGGCGUGAUGUGGGACGUCCUACCGGUGGGCUUAGCCUCGCGAGGGGCGGCCCAACUAAUAUCCCGUCGCGGUGCUCUUUACUGAGUGUCGAGUCGGGCCGGUACGUUUACUUUGAACAAAUUAGAGUGCUUAAAGCAGGCUAUCCUCGCCUGAAUACUGCGUGCAUGGAAUAAUGGAAUAGGACCUCGGUUCUAUUUUGUUGGUUUUCGGAACCCCGAGGUAAUGAUUAAUAGGGGACAGAUGGGGGGCUUUCGUAUUGCGACCUUUAGAGGUGAAAUUCUUGGGAUCGUCGCAAGACGGACAGAAGCGAAAGCAUUUGCCAAAAAUGUUUUCAUUAAUCAAGAACGAAAGUUAGAGGUUCGAAGGCGAUCAGAUACCGCCCUAGUUCUAACCAUAAACGAUGCCAGCUAGCGAUCCGCCGAAGUUCCUCCGAUGACUCGGCGGGCAGCUUCCGGGAAACCAAAGCUUUUGGGUUCCGGGGGAAGUAUGGUUGCAAAGCUGAAACUUAAAGGAAUUGACGGAAGGGCACCACCAGGAGUGGAGCGCGCGGCUUAAUUUGACUCAACACGGGAAACCUCACCAGGCCCAGACACCGGAAGGAUUGACAGAUUGAUAGCUCUUUCUUGAUUCGGUGGGUGGUGGUGCAUGGCCGUUUUUAGUUGGUGGAGCGAUUUGUCUGGUUAAUUCUGAUAACGAACGAGACUCUAGCCUGCUAAAUAGGCGUACCUUAUGGUAUCGUGAAGGCCCCCGGCUUCGGCCGGUGGGUUUUUACUACCAACGUACAAACAAAUCUUCUAGAGGGACAGGCGG